rnacentral:lncRNA from 8 species
UGUGAGUAUAAGUGCUUGUGUGUGCGUGUGCGAGUGUAUUGUAUCUGUGUCUACACACAUGCUGUAAGUCAGAGAUCAACUGACUUUUUGAUUGACACACUUUUCUUACCACUUUAUUGUCUCUUUAGAUUUCGUCUUUCUUCUUCAGGCCUAAAUAUUAUAAUCUCUUAUCAUUGGUGGUUGUCAGGGAGACAGCAAGUCUAGUAGCCCAAACACUGGUGCACCUGUCAGAGUGUGUGAGUACCUGCACAGGUGUGACAGCUGUCUGCUUACCUGAGAUCUACCUGCCGUGAGAAGGAGAGAGCAGGCUGAACUGAAGAGCUUAAUAAGAGGACAACACUGAGCCAAAAUGCCUCCUCGGAAGAAAAAUGACAUUGCAAUUAAAAUGGAAGAGGUGGGAAUGGAUAUCGAUGGAGAGUUAGACAGUGGGAGUGAGGAUGAGAUCAGGUGGAGAGACAGAAACAGGAAAGUCAAACUCUCUCCACGAGCCGGGGGACGGAAUGGCAAACAGGCCACCAGCGAUGAGGAAGAGAAAGAGGAGGACGAGGCACAGAGGAAGAGGGCUCAUAAGAAAAAGGCCAAGGUCCAAGACAGCGAGGAAGAGGAGGACGAGGAACAGGGGAAGAGGGCUCAUAAGAAGAAGGCCAAGGUCCAGGACAGCGAGGAAGAGGAUGAGGAAGAGGAGAAGAGCAUCAAGUGGAAGGGCCAAAAGGCUGCAGGCAGAAAGAAAAAGGCAGUCAAGCAGGAGACUGAGGAAGAAGAACGAGGGAAGAAAAGGAAAGGCAGAAAAGGGACUAGCAAGAACCAGAAAGAAGGGCAGAACAAGGAGAAGAAGGGCGAUGCCAAAGGGAAAAGUGACGUUAAAGGCAAAAGAGUGAAGGACAAAGGGAACGAGAAAGACAAGAAAAUGAAGAACGCAAAGUACAGCAGGUGCAGUAUCCUUUGAGAGGGCCAUCUCUCUCACAUAUCUCCAUGUUCAACACACCCUCAUGUAUGAAGGAGGAGUCUGACAGACUGUAUUGAUUAAUUAGUUCAGGGAGUUGAGUCAUGAAAUUGGGUUAUAGGGUUGCACAAAAGUGUUACAAAAUGCAACGACAAUGACCUUAGCUCACUAUCUGUCAAGCACUGAAACAAUACAUUUCACACAAUAACACUAUUUCAAUGUGGUGGUUCUUUUCUUUACUAUCAAAUGAGGAGAGACAAACUUAUCACACAAGUCAGAGUUAUACUUAAACUAAAUCUUUAAUAAUGAGAGCUUUGCAAUAGCAAUGACUUGUCAACGAUUCACCAUUUCUAAUGAUCCGUUGAGAAUGGCGAGACAAAAGUACAAAGGUCUUUUAUAGCCAAGAUACACCCCUUUCAACGUACAUGACGAACAACAGAUAUAUAGAAUGGGUCACAAGGUUAAGAUUUGUAUGAAAGAUACUUAUAAUACAUAGCAGACAGCAUCUGCUGUGUCAACAGUUUUCAUUGUAUAGACCAGUGUCUGUCCCUCCGACUCCAAACUGGAAGCAUCUCUCCCUGGUACGGGAUAGAGCAGAAACAUUAACUCAUGUUCUGGAAUGCUCUUUAGGUUUUAUCACCCAAAGACAUCGUAAAUCUCCUCUGUCAGUGUUAUCUCAUAGAGGCCCAUCAUCAGUAGAACACACACACAAUAGUUAACAGAAUACUCUAUUCUGUCGAAUAAAACAACCGUUCGAUGCAAUAAAAGCAUUAUAACAAUCUUGCAAUUUUUCCAUAAUAAUAGUGUAUUACUGAUUUGUAAGAUACAUAUAUAAAAAGGCAACAUUUCCUCUCAGCAUAUAUAUAUAUAUAUAUAUAUAUGUAUAUAUACAGUGCAUUAAGAAAGUAUUCAGACCCCUUGACUUUUUCCACAUUUUGUUAUGUUACAGCAUUAUAAUAAAAUAUGUAUUUUUUCCCCCUCAUCUA